AUGGCCACGCGGGGUUUAGUCCGAAUAUUUAACUUUAAGAGUCCUUCUUUCAAUAAUUUUUCAAUACUUUCAACUCGACCGUCGGACAAAUGUCUAUCUUGCUCAAGGAUUUCUGGUUUGGCGGCUGUCUGUGGCACUGCUAGACUGUACAACGAUGUCCUUGGCACUUGUAAUCAACACACAGGCUCUGCAAGAGGCUUUCAUACCUCAUCAAGUCUAUUUAAGAAAGACUACUAUGAUGUUCUCGGAGUUAGCAAAAAGUCUGACCCUAAAGAAAUUAAGAAAGCAUACUAUCAAUUAGCAAAAAAGUAUCAUCCUGAUACAAAUAAAGAUGAUCCUAAUGCUUCCAAAAAGUUCCAGGAAGUUUCCGAGGCCUAUGAGGUUCUGAGUGAUGAAAAUAAGCGCAGAGAAUAUGAUGCCUGGGGCACAACGUCUGAGCAAAUGGGACGUGAGGGUGGUGGUGGUGGUGGUUUUGGAGCAAGAAGAGGAUCAGGCGCAGGUGCAGGGACUCAGCAGAGAUGGGAAUACCGAGCCUCUGUUGAUCCGGAGGAGCUGUUCCGAAAAAUAUUUGGCGAGCAUGGAUUCCAAGGAUUUAAUGAUUUUGCAGAGUCAGCAUUUGGAUUUGGAGCGGGUCAAGAGGUCACAAUAGAGCUAACAUUUGCUCAGGCUGCUCGUGGAAUCAAUAAAGACAUUGAUGUCAACAUUGUUGACACAUGUCAAAAAUGCAAAGGAACCAGAGCAGAGCCAGGAACCAAGGCUACAAAAUGCCAAAGUUGUAAUGGUUCUGGAAUGGAAACUAUUAAAACAGGUCCGUUUGUAAUGCGUGCUCCAUGCCGAGUUUGUAAUGGAACCACAAUGGUUAUUAGGCAUCCUUGUCAAGAGUGUGGAGGCAAUGGGAAAACAUUGCAGCGCAAACGAGUGACCGUACCGGUUCCUGCAGGCGUCCAAGAUGGUCAAACACUGCGUAUGACUGUUGGGAGAAAGGAACUCUUUGUAACCGUGCGAGUUCAGAAAUCACCUUAUUUCAAGCAACAAGGUGCAGAUGUCCACACUGAUGCAGAUAUUUCCUUGUCACAAGCUGUUUUAGGCGGAACAAUUCGUGUGCAGGGAGUCUAUGAAGAUCAGACAAUACAGAUAUCUCCUCUAACAUCCUCACAUACCAAAAUUUGCCUCAAGGCCAAAGGAAUGAAACUAGUAUCAGGUUAUGGUUAUGGUGACCAUUAUGUCACAAUAAAGAUCAAGAUGCCAAAGUCCCUGACACCAGAACAGAAAGAACUGUUAACAGCGUAUGCUGAGCUGGAAGAAGACACACCCGGGACAAUUUUUGGACUCACAAUCAAGAAAGAUGGGAAUCCAAAGUCAACUCCUAAGAUGGCUGGUUCAGAAGAACAAGUAAUAGCAGAACAAGAAGAGAAGAAUGAACCACUGUUUAAGGGAAUCCUCUCUAAAAUUAAAAAAGCUAUUUUUGGAUGAUAAUAUUAGUUAUAAUAGACAAUUUUAUUCUGUAAAAAAAAUAAAUUUUAGACACCAAGUUGUUGAAUGUCACUAUUGAGUUUGUCACCAGUAUUGAAUGGUUGUAUGAUAUUAUUAUCUGCAACCUUUUUCAGGGAAAAACUAAGAAUUCAAUCUGAACUAGUACUUUCCACUGAAUUUGUUUUGCUUUGGGUGUGGCCAUCAUUUCUAUGGGUUUACAUUGGUCGCAAGGUCCGAUUGUUCCCCAAAGAUGACCCCAAAAAAAUUAGUGACUCAGACUCUGUUGAGAAUGGCGUUAGUGAAAAAAGUGCUUCCAAGGCAGAUGGACAAGAAAAUAGUAAUGACGAGCCUGUCAAAAAGGAGA
rnacentral:misc_RNA from 1 species